GAUGAACGCUGGCGGUGCGCCUAAUACAUGCAAGUCGAACGAGAAGUAUCAUUAGUUUACUAACGAUAUGGAAAGUGGCGGACGAGUGAGUAACACGUAACCAUCUGCCCCGUACUCAGGGAUAACUCGGCGAAAGUCGGGCUAAUACCGGAUAGUCUCGUAAGAGUAAAGCUUUUGCGGUACGGGAGGAGGUUGCGGCCUAUCAGCUAGUUGGUAAGGUAAAGGCUUACCAAGGCUAUGACGGGUAGCUGGUCUGAGAGGAUGAUCAGCCACGAUGGGACUGAGACACGGCCCAUACUCCUACGGGAGGCAGCAGUAAGGAAUCUUCCGCAAUGGACGAAAGUCUGACGGAGCGACACCGCGUGGAGGAUGACGGCCCUAUGGGUUGUAAACUCCUUUUAUGAGAGAAGAAGAUCUGACGGUAUCUCAUGAAUAAGCCCCGGCUAAUUACG
rnacentral:rRNA from 1 species